UGGGGAAUAUUGGACAAUGGGCGCAAGCCUGAUCCAGCCAUGCCGCGUGAGUGAUGAAGGCCCUAGGGUUGUAAAGCUCUUUCACCGGUGAAGAUAAUGACGGUAACCGGAGAAGAAGCCCCGGCUAACUUCGUGCCAGCAGCCGCGGUAAUACGAAGGGGGCUAGCGUUGUUCGGAUUUACUGGGCGUAAAGCGCACGUAGGCGGACUAUUAAGUCAGGGGUGAAAUCCCGGGGCUCAACCCCGGAACUGCCUUUGAUACUGGUAGUCUUGAGUUCGAGAGAGGUGAGUGGAAUUCCGAGUGUAGAGGUGAAAUUCGUAGAUAUUCGGAGGAACACCAGUGGCGUAGGCGGCUCACUGGCUCGAUACUGACGCUGAGGUGCGAAAGCGUGGGGAGCAAACAGG
rnacentral:rRNA from 1 species